CCCAGACAGUCAAAAUAGAAACAUCUGGUGUGAUAUUUAAAUCUAAGAAGAGAGAAAUUUGGUCUGACAUAAAGUUCAAAAAUUUUUCCUCAGAUAAUAGAAGAGAAUUGAAUCUCCACAUUCGUCUGGGAAUCCCAGAAUCUGGAAUGUUCAGUUUAAAUAAAAGGGGAGCAUGAUCUGACACUACUAUGGGUUGGUAUUCACAUGACUGAACAUCUGAUGUCAGUUUAUUAUCAGUAAAAAAAUAGUCAAUUCUACUAUACGUUUGAUGAGCAUUCGAAAAAAAGAAGUACUGUCUGUCUUUUAAGUGCAAAAAACGCCAGGUAUCCAGUAUGCCAUAGGUAGAAAGAAAUGACUGCAUAUAAGUGACAGAUUUAGAAGUUCCAUAUCCCGGCCGAACAGAUGAACGAUCCAUCUCGGGGUCCAGACAAAAAUUAAAAUCCCCGCCCAUAAUAAGCAAAUGUGAAUUUAAACAAGGGAGCAGACUGGUGACGUGAGAAAAAAAAUUUGGGUCGUCGCAGUUUGGAGCAUAUACUUGGUUAAUACAACAUUAACAUUAUAAAGUUUACCGGUUACUAUGACAUACCUUCCAUUUGGGUCAGCUAUGGUUGUGGAGGGAACAAAAGAGACAUUUUUAUUUAUGAGUAUUGCAACGCCUCUAGCUUUAUCCUGAAAGGUUGAAUGGAAAAGCUGCCCCACCCAUCCACAUUUUAUUCGGGCAUUAUCUAAAUUCUUCAGAUGCGUUUCUUGAAUAAAUGCUAUUCCAGCACCCAAAUUUUUAAGGUGUGUAAGGACCUUCUUCCUCUUAACAGGGUGGUUCAGCCCUUUAACAUUCCAAGUGAUAAUAUUCAAUGAGCUAGCCAUUAAAAAUCAAAAGAAGGAGUGUAAACAACAACAAAGAUAAACAUUAAAUCAAGAGGUAUAUUAUUAGAAGCCUUAAUAUUCUGGCAGAGAGGCAAGGUUAACAUAGUGCAAUACUUUGGUGUAUUACCAGCGGCAGUGAGACAGAAUAACCCUUCCCUGAACCCCCAGGUGACACUAGCUGCUAGAACAAACAGUACACCUACACUAACUAUGUGUAAUACUCCCGUGACUAGCUAUCUACGUAAAAAACUCCAUCCCGCCUUAAGAAAUGUAAAACCCACCCGAAUAACAAAUGACUUUGUAAGGCAGCAUCGCUACUGUAAAGUGCGAAUUCAAAAACACUUCUGUAUCAAAACAACAUGGCAAAGGUAAACAUAGCACGGUCCGUGCCACAACAAGCCAAUACUCACUUCUUCAAACUGAGAUAGUCACAUCUGGCAAGCAUCAAAACUAAUCAGUCAAGAGUUUUUAAAGUCUUCAACAAAUUUCUCGGCGUCUACCACAGAGCCGAACGCGAUGCGUAUGCCAUCUUUAUUGACAAUACGAAGCCGCGCAGGGUAUAGCAGCGAAGGCUUCAGCCCCAGUUUGUACAGGUCUGACAUGACCGCCGUGUAUUUCCUCCUCUGACUGACCACCUCUGGGCUGUAAUCCUCGUAGAUCCUGAACGGGUUGUUUUGGUACUUCAACGUGCCCCUUUUCCUGGUCUCCCGGAUCACCAGCUCUUUGUGUUGGUACCGAUGAAAGCAGAUGAUGACAGGUCGUGGUCUGCCGCCGGGACCUAGUUUGGGGGCCAGGCUGCGGUGCGCACGGUCCAGCUCCGGGGGAGAAGGGAAGAUGUCACGUCCAAAAACAUCCUGUAGCAGUUGCGAAAAGAACUUGCUUGGUUGUGGACCUUCACUACUUUCUGCUAUGCCGAUUAAUCUGACAUUACUUCGUCUACUUCUCCCUUCCAAGUCGGUUAGCUUAGCCCUUAGCUUGGUGUUAUCGGCAACAGUCCUCCACUUUAGCCAAACGUUGGCUAAGCGAGUCCGUGUCGCCUUCUAGAGAAUCCAGACGCUCGCCGUGACUAUUAACAGUCUCUUGAAGCCCAUCUAGCUUGUCAUUCACUUGGCCAAAAGAUUUCUUCAACUCGGCAAGCAAUGAUGUCUUUAGGUCGGCGAGCGAGUUUGUUAGAUCAGCUUUGCUAAUGCUGCUAGUAGCAGCAACAGGCUCCUGCUCGGUUUUUUCGCUUGACGUUGCAAGUUUUGGUGGCAUAAUGGGACAAAACACGGCCAGUCAGAGGAAAACGUACUUGAAAAUAAGCGUUGUAAAAAAUAAAAAAUAGAUGGGUAUAGUUAGAGUUAAAAGUUGCGGGAGCUGGUGGAGAACGUGACCUACUCCAUCUUGAACCGGAAGUCUCCAUGGCUGGUGAAAUUAAACUCAACUGCCAAAUGAAUUUGGUUAUUUGGAACAUUGGUGGCUCAGGGGACAAUUACUUUUUCACACAGGGAAAUAGGGGCUGGACAGCAUUUUUCCUUUAAUAAAUGAAAUCACUAUUAGUUGAAUGAUCUGAAAUGUUUAAGUAUGACAAAUACGCAAAAAUAGAAGAUAUUUGUAGCAGGCAAAUACUUUUCCAUAGCACUGUAACUCCUUUAUUGGGGAUUAACUGUACACUCUAAAGUUGUACAUCACAGUCCUCAUAAACUUAGAUGUUUCCUAUCAUUAGUCAACCCAAACUAUGAGGUCAAAAUUUAACAUGAAAGAUUUGGGGAAAAUAUCUUACUUUUUGGGCAUUCAGCUUGAACAUAAGGGAGAAGAAAUCAAAAUGAAUCAGACAAGGUACAUUAUAAAAAUGCUUGAAAAAUGCUUGAAAGGUUUGGAAUGUUAGAAUGCAAACCCAGAUCCACCCCAUGUGAACAAAAGUUGGUGGGAGACAAAAAUGAAGAGGGCAUCAUAAAUGAUGUUAAUCCUAAAGAGUAUCGAGAGAUUGUAGGCAGUCUAAUAUAUGCCAUGACAUGUACCAGACCAGACAUCAGUUGGGUGGUAAGCAAACUAUCCCAAACUCUAGCAAACCCAAAAACAGAAAACUUAGUAGCCGCUAAACACGUCUUGAGAUACUUAAAAGGUACAAGUGACUAUGGACUAACUUUCAAGAAAAGUAAAGAGGAUUUGAACCUGAUAGCCUAUAGUGAUUCUGAUUGGGCAUCUUCUGUAGAAGAUAGACGCAGCACCACAGGGUACUGCUUCAGCCUAACAAAACAAGGCCCUGCAAUUUUCUGGAAGUCAAAGAAACAACCUACAGUGGCUUUGUCGACUUGUGAAGCUGAGUACAUUGGUCUAGCAACCACUACCCAGGAAAGCAUGUACUUAACUCAGCUGUUAAGUGGCAUGGAUAACAGAGUACACAUUUGUACUACGAUUCAUGGAGACAAUCAAGGAGCCAUAGCACUGAGUAAGAAUCCAGUGAACAGACAGAGAUCAAAACACAUUGAUGUAAAGUAUCAUUUCAUACGUGAUGCACUGAGUGAGGGGAAAAUAGACAUUGUUUAUUGCCCAUCAGAAGAAAUGAUUGCAGACAUAUUAACAAAACCUGCAACAAAGAUUAAGAUUACAAAGUUCAAGAAAUGGUUCUUUGGAGACUAAAACCAUGGUUUGGGAUGAUGAGAGCAAGAGGGGGUGUUAGGUUUUAUGUUCUCAUUUGGAAUGCUUGUUUAUGAUACAGUUGUUAUGUGAAGUUGAUGUGUUACCACGUAUUAUCAAAUUAUUAUGUAUUUACUCAUGUUUGUUAAUGCUGUGGAUUGUGUGCCCUGUCAAGCAUGACGUAUGUACAUAUAACGCCCGGCCGGCUGUCGUAAAUGUUGUGAUGAAGCACUUUACGUUACUUCCCACACUAUAUCUUUUUAGCGCAAAGCUGAAGUUGUGACCGAUGUAUUUUCUGGUGCCAAAAUAAUAAAUGAAGCGAACGUAAACAGUAAUGUGUGAUUCCCUUCCUCAAUAUGGAUGCUGAAGCUGGAAACGCAACAUAGGUGAUCAAUGGCUAUCUAACAAGUGUGGGCAGAAAGACAGGAACUCUGAUUUUGGACUUGUAUCUAAUGACCUCAGCCUGGCAAGGAUCUGCUAAAGGUUUUAGAAAGGUGAGAUCAAUUGGUAGGCAGAUGGCUCAGCUGGCUGAGCGGGUAACUUAUAAACAGGGGCUAUAGUCCCUGAUGCAGCAGCCUGGGUUUGAUUCCAGCUCACGACCCUUUGCUGCAGGUCUUCUCCCUAUUCUCCUGUCUGCCUCUACUAACCUGUCUAAAGCCAAAAAUACCCUCUUUUUUUUUUUUUCAAAAAAGGUGAGGGUAUUCAAAAUAAAAUGUAUGUUUAAGGUUUCUAUCUGAUAUUUUGCAGUUAAAUCUACUACAGCAUGAUGUGGCAGCUGGAGCAGUCUGUGAUAAGGCACACUGGACUGUUAGUAAUCUCAACAUAUUUAGACACACAAUAAGAUUUUUUUUUGUCAUGAGACUUAAUUGCAUUUUUGAAGAUCGUGUAUCUGAAGGAAAGGAGGGCACUGUACCUGGAUCCAUUCAGGGCAACAGAGGAACAGAUCAAGAAGUGCAAAGAUGUAACAAGGUGACAUGGCAUGAACAUGAAACAAAAUGGUUGCAUUUGAUAAAAUACUUGUUUACACAUAAUGUGGAUAGUAUCUGGGAGCAAGAUGGCAGUUUUUUUUAUAGGAUUUUUUUUAACAUAUUGCAUUUUUUUUUUCUUUAAUUACCUUGUCCCUCUGAAGUCAACUGCUAAAUUAAAAAUACCUUAUUUGGACUAGCAUUAAAGUUGGUCAACUGUUAAUGUGUUGUGUGCAGAGCACUGGUCCGCACAGUGUGUCCUGCAGUAACAAAGUGGAUGUGUGCAACACUGCCCCAUCCAAAACAGCAGGACUCGACAUCAUGUGGUGUAUUCGUGUGCAAGCUUGCAGAACAAAUUCUACAGAAAAGGAGAUACAGUAUCCUGUAGACCAGGAGGGCGUGGCCAGGCUAAGGCUCGACAUAGCAAUAUCAUUGCUGAAAGAUUCAGGUAAACCUGAGGAGAUUGAGUGCACCACCUGUGGGAGGUGGUACCAUAUGUCUUGUGUGGGGCAUCCACCUACAGAUGGGGACUACCACUGCAAUAGCUGCCAAUAAAUAUGUUAAAUCAAAAGGAAAUGCUGUCUUUUCUCAAUGACAUCACACUCGAGUAUGACACAAUGUACUUCUAUUACUGAUUUGAACAUGAACGUCCUGUGAUUUUUUUUUGUAAAUUGCUGCAUUUCGAGUUCAAUACGUUAAAUACUGCUGGACUGUUUUGGUAAGAUUUUGACGUUUGUGUAUUUAAAUAAGACAGUGUAGCUAGGAUGUGAUCUAAACCUGCCAAUACGGUAUCAAUAUAUUGUUAUACUACAACAUUCUGGCCUUCUACCACACGGUUUGGUGAACUUAUUAAAAUAACGUGUACACCAUGUGCUGGUCUGCUGCUUUAACAGGUUUUAACAGGAAUCGGUGAUCACAGCUCCACUGGUUCCAACUGCACUGACCUAGUUUUUCUUUCUUGUUGCCUGACAGCGCAUGACUCUUACGAUGAGAACGCGUCUAAUUUCCAGAUAUUUUUGUCAGGACCAAAAUGAAUAAAACAGCAGAAAUCUCAUUUUUAGAAGCGAAGUUGUUCCAUUGUUUAUUUCCUGGUUCGUCGGUAAGGGGUCCUGAAAAGCCACGCCUACGAAACAUCUGUCUCAGAAACGCUGCUAUCACCAGUUGAUCGGAACACCAGUUAAUCUUGAACACCGGCAGCUCCGUAAUCACACGUCUGGCAGGUAGUGAUGGCGAGAUGAAGCUUCAUGAAGCAUUGGUUCACUCAUGGUUCGAAGCUUCAUGGUGUUUCAUUUGCUCUACUGCGCCAUCAACUGGACAAAUAAAAGUAAAACAGGCAGAGUGCUUAUAAUGACACACUAGCUUUGCUAUGUGAAGCUUUGAAUUGUGCUUAAAUGAUAAUGCCAAUAAACAAGUAAUAUCCUUAAUAUAGUGUCUGCUUUUCCUGAUAGCAGGAACAGAGGAGGAAAUGGAAACAAAGAGAGA